GACAGAGGGUGCAAACGUUGUUCGGAAUUACUGGGCGUAAAGCGCGUGUAGGCUGCUCGGAAAGUCGGAUGUGAAAGCCCUGGGCUCAACCUAGGAAGUGCAUUCGAAACUCCCGAGCUGGAGUCCUGGAGAGGAAGGCGGAAUUCUCGGUGUAGAGGUGAAAUUCGUAGAUAUCGAGAGGAACACCGGUGGCGAAGGCGGCCUUCUGGACAGUGACUGACGCUGAGACGCGAAAGCGUGGGGAGCAAACAGG
rnacentral:rRNA from 1 species